rnacentral:rRNA from 1 species
CCUACGGGUGGCAGCAGUGGGGAAUAUUGGGCAAUGGGCGCAAGCCUGACCCAGCAACGCCGCGUGAGGGAAGAAGGUUUUCGGGUUGUAAACUUCUUUUAAUAGGGAAGAGCAGGCGACGGUACCUCUUGAAUAGGCCACAGCUAACUACAUGCCAGCGGCCGCGUUAAUACGUAGGUGGCAGGCGUUGUCCGGAUUUACUGGGUGUAAAGGUCGUGUAGCCGGGCUGAUAAGGCAGAUGUGAAAUUCCGGGGCUCAACCCCGGACCUGCAUUUGAAACUGGUGGUCUUGAGUAUCGGAGAGGAAGGCGGAAUUCCUAGUGUAGCGGUGAAAUGCGUAGAUAUUAGGAGGAACACCAGUGGCGAAGGCGGCCUGCUGGA